GACGAACGCUGGCGGCGUGCUUAACACAUGCAAGUCGAACGGUGAAGCUCCAGCUUGCUGGAGUGGAUCAGUGGCGAACGGGUGAGUAACACGUGAGCAACCUGCCCCUGACUCUGGAAUAAGCGCUGGAAACGGCGUCUAAUACUGGAUACGAGAAGGGUCCGCAUGGGCACUUUCUGGAAAGUUUUUCGGUUGGGGAUGGGCUCGCGGCCUAUCAGCUUGUUGGUGAGGUAAUGGCUCACCAAGGCGACGGCGGGUAGCCGGCCUGAGAGGGCGACCGGCCACACUGGGACUGAGACACGGCCCAGACUCCUACGGGAGGCAGCAGUGGGGAAUAUUGCACAAUGGGCGAAAGCCUGAUGCAGCGACGCCGCGUGAGGGAUGACGGCCUUCGGGUUGUAAACCUCUUUCAGCAGGGAAGAAGCGAAAGUGACAGUACCUGCAGAAGAAGCACCGGCUAACUACGUG
rnacentral:rRNA from 1 species